AAAGUCGUAACAAGGUCUCCGUUGGUGAACCUGCGGAAGGAUCAUUCAUAAUAAGUGUUUUAUAUGGCACUUUUUAAAUCCAUAUCCACCUUGUGUGCAAUGUCAGUCGAUCUUCUUCAUGGAGAUCGGCCAAACAUCAACCUUAUCUUUUAACUCUUUGUCUGAAAAAUAUUAUGAAUAAACAAUUCAAAAUACAACUUUCAACAACGGAUCUCUUGGCUCUC
rnacentral:misc_RNA from 1 species